rnacentral:rRNA from 1 species
CAGGCCUAACACAUGCAAGUCGAGCGGACCAUUCCUUCGGGGAUGGUUAGCGGCGGACGGGUGAGUAACACGUAGGCAACCUGCCUGUAAGAUCGGGAUAACUACCGGAAACGGUAGCUAAGACCGGAUAGCUGGUUUCCCCGCAUGGGGGAAUCAUGAAACACGGGGCAACCUGUGGCUUACGGAUGGGCCUGCGGCGCAUUAGCUAGUUGGUGGGGUAACGGCCCACCAAGGCGACGAUGCGUAGCCGACCUGAGAGGGUGAUCGGCCACACUGGGACUGAGACACGGCCCAGACUCCUACGGGAGGCAGCAGUAGGGAAUCUUCCGCAAUGGGCGCAAGCCUGACGGAGCAACGCCGCGUGAGUGAUGAAGGUUUUCGGAUCGUAAAGCUCUGUUGCCAAGGAAGAACGCCUCGGAGAGUAACUGCUCUGAGGGUGACGGUACUUGAGAAGAAAGCCCCGGCUAACUACGUGCCAGCAGCCGCGGUAAUACGUAGGGGGCAAGCGUUGUCCGGAAUUAUUGGGCGUAAAGCGCGCGCAGGCGGUCUUUUAAGUUUGGUGUUUAAGCCCGGGGCUCAACCCCGGUUCGCACUGAAAACUGGGAGACUUGAGUGCAGGAGAGGAAAGCGGAAUUCCACGUGUAGCGGUGAAAUGCGUAGAGAUGUGGAGGAACACCAGUGGCGAAGGCGGCUUUCUGGACUGUAACUGACGCUGAGGCGCGAAAGCGUGGGGAGCAAACAGGAUUAGAU